GCCUCGGUGGUGUGCUCGAGACGCUCGCCUGGUGAACAGGAGGGCGUGGGUUCAAUCCCACCCGAGGUA
rnacentral:tRNA from 1 species